CACACAGAGUGGGAAGGAGGCAUGGCACAGUCACCACACCACACAGGACAGAUUAAAGAGGAUUUGAGGGCCCCAGGAGGUGAUCAGUCCUGUACUGCCACAAUAUAGAACAUAAGGGGCAGGAGAGUCAUGUGGGGUGAGCCCUGACCAGGUGAAACUUUCCAACAGAAGGAGGCCUAUCCACGGCCUGUGGGUUCCUGAGUGUCCUGGCUCUCUGGCAACUGUGUAAGGUUCCAGAUGGCUUCUCCUGUACCCAGGAAUUGUAUUGCCUCCGUCUUCUCUGCCCCCUGACCAGGUUCUCAGAAAAUUUGUAUAAGGGUCUCCUUCAAUGGUAUCAUAUACUCACAAGACUACAGGAGAUGAAUGGGAUGUUUCAGACCUCUGUUGAAGAUGUCAGAACAACUGAGACACAUUUGCCCAACAUUUGGUGG